rfam:Mycoplasma haemofelis Ohio2, complete genome.
GACUUGCUAGCUCAGCGGUAGAGCAUUCGCCUUUUAAGCGAAGGGUCCUGGGUUCGAAUCCCAGGCGAGUCA